AACGAACGCUGGCGGCAUGCCUAACACAUGCAAGUCGAACGAGACCUUCGGGUCUAGUGGCGCACGGGUGCGUAACGCGUGGGGACCUGCCCUUAGGUUCGGAAUAACUCCCCGAAAGGGGUGCUAAUACCGGAUAAUGUCUUCGGACCAAAGAUUUAUCGCCUUUGGAUGGGCCCGCGUUGGAUUAGCUAGUUGGUAGGGUAAAAGCCUACCAAGGCGACGAUCCAUAGCUGGUCUGAGAGGAUGAUCAGCCACACUGGGACUGAGACACGGCCCAGACUCCGACGGGAGGGAGCAGUGGGGAAGAUUGGACAAUGGGCGAAAGCCGGAUCCAGCAAGGCCGCGGGAGUGAUGAAGGCCUUAGGGUUGUAAAGCUCUUUUACCCGGGAUGAUAAGGACAGGACCGGGAGAAUAAGCUCCGGCGAACUCCGU
rnacentral:rRNA from 1 species